rnacentral:lncRNA from 1 species
UCAUCACCAUUUUCAUCUUUGUCAUCAGUACCAGCUUCUUUUGACCAUGUCAUCCUCCCCAAGCUGCACAGAAAUGUAGAAGACAAGAUGGUUUUCUUGUAAUGCAUUAACAGCUUUAGUUGUCAAACAUGAAAAAUGAACGACUUAGAUGCUCCUGUUGAGUUUGUCAAGAUUGUAUUUUUUGCUGAGAAUUUUAAUGCCUGCAUGUACAGUCAUGUGAGAGGAGUGUGAUGCAGUGAAAUAGGAGCAUUUUUGGAGAUGAGGCUUGCAGCCAGUCUUUUUGAUGCCCACUUAGUCCAAGCAGAUUAAAAUUAUUGAUUCACAGGCCACUCUUAUUUUUGUAAUUAUGGCAGGUGCAGAGACGGUUGCAAGUUCCUUAAUGAAGAGGUGUACUGUUUUGUUUUUCAUGUUGUAUUGUGGAGGGUUCAUCUAAAUUUGGAAAUGCCUUCCAGUUUACCAGCACUCGGCUUGAAACUUUGUUUUGUUUCAUUCUUUCACCACCUUAUUUCACUUUGUGUUAGGUAUCCAAAGAGGAGGCCAAUUUUGGUGUAGCCUGAUGUAAUCUCCAGAUAUCUCUGAUGCAAGGUGAUCUCUGGCACUAAAGCAUCUGGUUGUAGCACAAAGUUUCGGCGCAAACAAAGUGCAACCACAAAAAACAGUCAUGAUACCAGAAAGGAUGAAAAGUCCAGGUCUACCUCUCCCUGAAAUCACAUCAUGUAUUUUUAUCAUUGUUAGCACCAUCAUUGUCAUUGUCAUGCUCACCAUAUGAUUAAAGGAUUCCACUUCUUCAGAUCAUGGCAGCUUUACAAAGCCACAUCGAUAUUAAUCUUUUGGCUAGGAUGUAUUUCCUUUGAUACUUUAAGGAAUUGGAAAUGAAUAGUAGAUAUGCCAACUGAGAAAGUUUUGCUAGUUUCAUAAAUAAUAGCUAAGUUCAAAUGAAAUGAUCAACACCAGUUCAUUUGGGAAUUAACAGGGGUAUGCUAACUAAGAAAGGAUGCUGAUUCUUUAAUUAAUAAAUUUUGUGCAUUCAUCAAAACUUGAUCCUCUAGAAUUGCGUGAGAAGGGAAUUCAAUGUUUAUUCAAUCAGGUUCAUGUAAAUGCGAUGACUGAUAAAUUUCUUUCAAAGAUAAUUCAAGAUUUCACUAGCAGGUAACUUUUUCUCAUGAUUUUGUCAAAGCUGUGGUUAGAUAUUUUCCUGAUAAAUGGAUACCUUGGAGUAAUUGGUCAUUAUUCAUUAAUUUAUCAUUAAAUUGCACAAGGUUCAGGCAUGUGCUCACGUAUGUGCAAUAACAUAGUGAAUACCAUAUAAUAUUAAUCUACACUAUCCAUUUAUACAUAUUAUGUAAAGCACAAUAUGUGAAUAAUAUACAACAGAAUGCUUAUGAAUUCUCCUUGAAUUGGAAAUAUGGAAAGAUAUUAAAUAUGAUGAGGCCAAACUGUUUAGAAGCCUACCUUAGAUUGUAAGAGUAAUGUUCAAUCCGUUGGUUGUAUCUUUCAAUGUCCCUUCCUAUCAGGUACAGUGAAUGCUGAUGUAGAAAUAAAGCCACUGGAACAUUGUGAGAAGAGAGUAUUUAGCAGAGACAAAUAUUGGUUAAUCUUCAAACGUUUUUUUAGAUUUGAGAUUGCUUGACAUCAAUGUAAACUUAUAAUCUGAAACACUCUCAUGAUAAAGGUUUUGAAUCCCAAGGAACAUGGCAAUACCAAUUUUUCUAUAGAAUAGGCCAUGCCGCCAUCUCACCCUAUCUUGACACUUGGGAUAGGGGAUGUCCCAAGAUGAGCCGAUCAAAACGUUGAGAUAAUGGCAGGAUGGUCGUAUCCUGAAACUGAGGAUGGUAUCCUAUCUGGGUGUCUUGUGGGAUAUCUUGCCGGGACUGGAGUCCUUGCUUAUAAUAGAUUUUACCAAACAUGCUUAUGAUUGAUUUUACCAAAUUUUGGCAUGACUGAUUGGUUACAAGACAGUAUUUUGAGAUGCCUUGACUAUUGAAUCACAAAUUAACAAGGACUUCCAUGCAAUGAUACAAGACAAAUCUAGUACAAGGGUGCAAGGAAGAGAACUCUCAGUUUGAUGGAUGCAACAACUCCUUUACUCAUUGGAAUCUAUAUAUCUAAGAAAAACUCCAUAAAACAUAAAAGAAUAUAUUCUUUGAUCAAAGUUGAUGAAAAGAGAAACAGUUCUAUUCAUUUUACUCCCUGAGUCCAAGGAAGCACAAAAAUCUUAUGGAGAAUCCCGAAACGCCUGCCAACAUUGAGUGGUUCAUGGGAUUCCAAAUAUGCAAUUUAACCAAAAGGUAUUGAAGUUGCAUCUAUAGGCACAAAGCAAUGAAUAUUUUUAAUGUCAGAAGAUCACUGUUUCCCACUCAACCACUGAACAAUUUUACCCUUAUGACUGAAGGGGUUGUAAGACACUAAAACUACUUCCUAAUUUUUAUAUGCAAUAUAGGCUUGUCUACAGUGCUCUAUGAAAUAUUAAUUAGUGAAUUAUGAACUACAAAUUAAGUUUCAUAUCUUUUAAAAGCAACACUAUUUUGAGAGAUCUAAAAAAAUUGAGAAAACUAUAAUAUUUGGGGGACCUAUACAGUUUAGUCAUCCAUAAACAGUAUCUGCAUUACUUAGAAAAUGAAACAUUAGUAACAAUAUGACAAUAGAAUCAGGAAAGGAAACCAAAGGCACAUAAACCUAUUGUUGGAGAAAGUCUAAGAACAACUACCGAUAUCUCAACUAAGAUAACAAAUUUACUUUAAAGUAACUCAUCAACAGUGCAAAAUAGCAUCUCUUGAAAUAAGUGUCCCAAUAAAGAUCUCCAAGAUCAAAACCAAGCUAACAUGGUUACUAAGUGUCCUUAAUUUAAGGCCCAAACUUAUUUUCUUUCUUCCUAAGAAAACUAAAGCAGGGUGAUUCCAUUUCCAAUAGCAUCAAUUACACAAACAUUUUGCAAUUUCAUUGAUGUAAUAUUUGAAAGUGGACAGAGUAGUUCAGCUUAGCUUCUAGCCUUCUUCAUUUGAAUGGCCUCCAUAUGUUCAAAAUUAAGGGAAAGGCAAACAAGAAACAAAGACAAAUAGGCACCAAUAUCAAGAACUCCCAAGCAUAACAAGAACUCAAAAGUUUAUUCUAAAAUCUAUUACCCAAUCCGGCGAUAAAGACCAACGUGGCUUUCAUCCCGGAGGCACGUGGGAUGGGAGAUGAAUGACAGCUCUCACAGAUCAAAGGGGGCACGGAUUGGGAAGACGAAGGGAGUUGGUGGCAGCCGGGUUGGGUGUUUAAAUGUUAAUGGCCCGGGCCUC